CCAAAGUACCCCAAUAUAUAUUAUAUACUGUACAUGAAAUAUCAAAGUUCACAAACUAUAUAUUAUAUACUGUACAUAAAAUAUCAAAGUACCCAAGGUAUAUAUUCUAUAGUGUACAAAAAAUAUCAAAGUACCCAAAGCAUGUAUUAUAUACCGUACAUAAAAUAUAAAAUUACAUCAAAUAUAUAUUUUAUUCUGUACAUAAAAUAUCAAAGUACACCAGAUAUAUAUACUAUAGUGUACAUAAAAUAUCAAAGUACCCAAACUAUACAUUAUACACUGUACAUAAAAUAUGAAAGUACAUCAAAUAUAGAUUACAUACUGUAAAUAUAAUAUCAAUGUACCCCAAAUAUAUAUUUUAUACUCUACAUGAAAUAUCAAAGUUCACAAACCAUAUAUUAU
rnacentral:lncRNA from 1 species